rnacentral:rRNA from 1 species
UACGUAGGGUGCGAGCGUUAAUCGGAAUUACUGGGCGUAAAGCGUGCGCAGGCGGUUUUGUAAGCCAGAUGUGAAAGCCCCGGGCUUAACCUGGGAAUGGCAUUUGGGACUGCAAGGCUUGAGUGCGGCAGAGGAGACUGGAAUUCCUGGUGUAGCAGUGAAAUGCGUAGAUAUCAGGAGGAACACCGGUGGCGAAGGCGGAUCUCUGGGCCUUACCUGACGCUGGAGGAGCGAAAGCAUGGGAGCAAACAG